rnacentral:lncRNA from 1 species
CGAGGUGCUGCAGAAAGGUUGCAGAGGGGCUUCCGCUGCGAUUGGGGAAUGGGGCGCGAGAAUCCAUUCGGUCGCGGGCCAGAGACGAGGCGGAGCGGUGGGCGUCGGAGAAGUUGAGCCACACGGCGGGGGAACUCUGAAGCGGGCAUGCAACUCGAGUGCGCCUGUCGCGGAAGAUUUGGGGGAAAAAGAUCUCGUGGGUCCACCGGUCAGAUAGAAGGGACGUGUUGGGAAAGACUUAGAAGGAUCCGACGGUGAGUUGGGGUCGGCGGGGUCGGAACUGGAGACCGGCGGAGAGGGGUCGGGUCUCAGGGGUCGGGACCGGUCUGGAGGUUGAUUGCUAGGCUUGGAAAGCUAAGACAGGUGAUCAGGGGCUCGGAUUAGGAUUAACUUGGAAGAUUUGGGGUCGGUCGUCACACUGUGAUGCUACCUGCAUGUGCAAGAUGGAGAGCUAGAAGAACAUGUUGUCCAGGAUGAGCAAGGCCACGCUACCCAUCAUUUCGAUCUGAACGAGGAAGCAGAAGAUGAGGAUUACCAUGGUGAACCAGGUAUUUACAUUGACAAAAUUACAUAUUAGCAAUCAAACAUUUUACUGCAACAUAGUACUCCUAGAUUGUGUUUUCACUAGAGUAGAAUCAUUUGACAUCAGUAUAAAAAAAUUAGAAUAUCCUACUUGCUGACCAUCAUAUGUGCAUUCAAUACAAUAUGAUUGCUUAUUUCCAUGAGUUAUGAACCAGGUGAAGGAGCAUCUAGGCCCCUAAUUCAAUUUUGGCGAUUAAUGACAACAUGAUCAUCGCG